rnacentral:rRNA from 1 species
AGGAGGCACCUGAUCAGCAUGCCGCGUGUGUGAAGAAGGCCUUCGGGUUGUAAAGCACUUUUGUCCGGAAAGAAAUCGCACUUACUAAUAUUAGGUGUGGAUGACGGUACCGGAAGAAUAAGGACCGGCUAACUACGUGCCAGCAGCCGCGGUAAUACGUAGGGUCCAAGCGUUAAUCGGAAUUACUGGGCGUAAAGCGUGCGCAGGCGGUUGUGCAAGACCGAUGUGAAAUCCCCGGGCUUAACCUGGGAAUUGCAUUGGUGACUGCACGGCUAGAGUGUGUCAAAGGGGGGUAGAAUUCCACGUGUAGCAGUGAAAUGCGUAAAGAUGUGGAGGAAUACCGAUGGCGAAGGCAGCCCCCUGGGAUAACACUGACGCUCAUGCACGAAAGCGUGGGGAGCAAACAGGAUUAGAUACCCUGGUAGUCCACGCCCUAAACGAUGUCAACUAGUUGUUGGGGAUUCAUUUCCUUAGUAACGUAGCUAACGCGUGAAGUUGACCGCCUGGGGAGUACGGUCGCAAGAUUAAAACUCAAGAAUUUUGACGGAGCCCCUGCCCAAAAUA